AUUGAACGCUGGCGGCAUGCUUUACACAUGCAAGUCGAACGGUAACAGGCCUUCGGGUGCUGACGAGUGGCGCACGGGUGAGUAAUGCAUCGGAACGUACCCAGAGGUGGGGGAUAACGCAGCGAAAGCUGUGCUAAUACCGCAUGUGAUCUGAGGAUGACAGCGGGGGACCGAGCAGCAAUGUUUGGCCUCGCGCCUUUGGAGCGGCCGAUGUCGGAUUAGCUAGUUGGUGGGGUAAAGGCCUACCAAGGCGACGAUCCGUAGCUGGUCUGAGAGGACGACCAGCCACACUGGGACUGAGACACGGCCCAGACUCCUACGGGAGGCAGCAGUGGGGAAUUUUGGACAAUGGGCGCAAGCCUGAUCCAGCAAUGCCGCGUGCGGGAAGAAGGCCUUCGGGUUGUAAACCGCUUUUGGCAGGAACGAAACGGUGUCCGCUAAUACCGGGCGCUAAUGACGGUACCUGCAGAAUAAGCACCGGCUAACUACGUG
rnacentral:rRNA from 1 species